GUUUUUGCUGGCUUCCUUCAGUGGAUGGUCUGCUCCCCUUAAAUGCAUUAGUGGGAUCUCUUGUGGACCGUCACUUGGUGUGAUAAUUAUCUAUACCAUUUGGCUUUGAAGCAAAUCUUAUGGGAACCCGCUCAUAACCGUCUUCGGACAACUUUUGACAUUUUGACCUCAAAUCAGGUAGGACUACCCGCUGAACUUAA
rnacentral:misc_RNA from 1 species